AAAAUCACACAUCUAACACAAGUGGCAGGAAAUGUGGAAGAAAGCCGACAGUUAGCCUUAGGUGCCAGACCUUUUAGGGAAUUUCCUUUCCUUUUUUUUUUUUUCUUUUUGUUUGUUUAUUGAAAAUUUCCACAAGUGACUUUGCUCUGCUUUUAUAGUGACAACCGAAUCAAUAUUAAAACCAAGCCAAACCAACCCAGGGAUCAUGAGCAGCAUGAGGAGGUCAGGCCGUGGUCCUCCCUGGGCAGGGACUCCUUCUCCCACAGAGUCAAGCCCAGUCCCUGGGAUGCCCGGGCUCGGAGGCCUCUUCUCUGUCCAGCCUCUGGCCCCAACCCUGACGUGUCACCUCAGUCAGCGUGUCCCGAACCUGCUGAUGAAGUAAGCAACAGAACACAUGCCACUGUCAGAGAUGGGGAGUUGGAAAGGGGGUGCAGGCCGCGGAGGACGUGGAAGAGGGGAGCCGGUCAGGGUCGCACAGAAAACAGAUGCACUUUCGCGCUGCUCCUCAUUGGCCGAACCCAACCAGAGCUCAUGCGUGGGAAUCCAGCUGAUGGGCAUUCCAGGGCCCAGAGCAGGUGACAAAGCAUGGAGGCAGGAACCACAAGGGAAGAGAACAGCUGGGCCCAGUCACAAAGCUCGAGAUGGUCACCUCAGUGCAGCUGGUGUUUUCUUCUGUGAAAACCUGCGCUCCGUCCCAGCUCUGCUCCUGCUCCAGGGGCCAGCCUAUUUGUUUUUU